AUUAGAUGAGCCUAUAUUAGAUUAGCUAGUUGGUGGAGUAAUAGCCUACCAAGGCAAUGAUCUAUAGCUGAUCUGAGAGGAUGAUCAGCCACACUGGAACUGAGAUACGGUCCAGACUCCUACGGGAGGCAGCAGUGGGGAAUAUUGGACAAUGGGCGAAAGCCUGAUCCAGCCAUGCCGCAUGAGUGAAGAAGGCCUUUGGGUUGUAAAGCUCUUUUAGUGAGGAAGAUAAUGACGGUACUCACAGAAGAAGUCCUGGCUAACUCCGUGCCAGCAGCCGCGGUAAUACGGAGAGGGCUAGCGUUAUUCGGAAUUAUUGGGCGUAAAGGGCGCGUAGGCUGAUUAAUAAGUUAAAAGUGAAAUCCCGAGGCUUAACCUUGGAAUUGCUUUUAAAACUAUUAAUCUAGAGAUUGAAAGAGGAUAGAGGAAUUCCUGAUGUAGAGGUAAAAUUCGUAAAUAUUAGGAGGAACACCAGUGGCGAAGGCGUCUAUCUGGUUCAAAUCUGACGCUGAAGCGCGAAGGCGUGGGGAGCAAACAGGAUUAGAUACCCUGGUAGUCCACGCUGUAAACAAUGAAUGUUAAAUAUGGGAAGUUUACU
rnacentral:rRNA from 1 species